UUUUUGUGAUGAAAACAGUCCAGUUUUGCUACUGAAGGGAGAGAUAAAAGCCUUUAGUGCUGAGGAAG
rnacentral:snoRNA from 1 species